AGCAGCCGCGGUAAUUCCAGCUCCAAUAGCGUAUAUUAAAGUUGUUGCAGUUAAAAAGCUCGUAGUUGAAUUUCGGGAUCAGGCUGUCGGUCGUGCCUCGGUACGCACUGGCAUUAUUGGUUCCUACCUUCUGAAGAACCGCGAUGUCAUUAAUUUGGUGUCGCGGGGAAUCAGGACUGUUACUUUGAAAAAAUUAGAGUGUUUAAAGCAGGCUUACGCUUGAAUACAUUAGCAUGGAAUAAUGAAAUAGGACGUUUGAUUCUAUUUUGUUGGUUUCUAGGAUCGACGUAAUGAUUAAUAGGGAUAGUUGGGGGCAUUAGUAUUCAAUUGUCAGAGGUGAAAUUCUUGGAUUUAUUGAAGACUAACUACUGCGAAAGCAUUUGCCAAGGAUGUUUUCAUUAAUCAAGAACGAAAGUUAGGGGAUCGAAGACGAUCAGAUACCGUCGUAGUCUUAACCAUAAACUAUGCCGACUAGGGAUCGGAUGAUGUUAAUUUUAUAAUGACUCA
rnacentral:rRNA from 1 species